rnacentral:rRNA from 1 species
GAUGAACGCUGGCGGCGUGCCUAAUACAUGCAAGUCGAGCGAACAGAUAAGGAGCUUGCUCCUUUGACGUUAGCGGCGGACGGGUGAGUAACACGUGGGUAACCUAUCUAUAAGACUGGAAUAACUCCGGGAAACCGGGGCUAAUGCCGGAUAACAUGUUGAACCGCAUGGUUCUACAGUGAAAGGCGGCUUUGCUGUCACUUAUAGAUGGACCCGCGCCGUAUUAGCUAGUUGGUGAGGUAACGGCUCACCAAGGCAACGAUACGUAGCCGACCUGAGAGGGUGAUCGGCCACACUGGAACUGAGACACGGUCCAGACUCCUACGGGAGGCAGCAGUAGGGAAUCUUCCGCAAUGGGCGAAAGCCUGACGGAGCAACGCCGCGUGAGUGAUGAAGGUCUUCGGAUCGUAAAACUCUGUUAUUAGGGAAGAACAAAUGCGUAAGUAACUGUGCGCGUCUCGACGGUACCUAAUCAGAAAGCCACGGCUAACUACGUG